rnacentral:lncRNA from 1 species
UUGAGAUCUGACUCUUAUCUAGCAAAAGCCUGGUUUACUUGAUUUUAUUUAAUAAUUUUUAGUCUUUUUAUGAUUUUAUUUCAUUUAAGAGAUUUGGAUUAAAAUAUUUCUCUAGUCCUUCCUCAUUUUGGAAAAGCUGAGAACUCAGGUAGUUGAGAAGUUGGUACAAAUUAUUGUAUUAACUUUUUUGGGGAGAUUCUUGUUCAUGUGCUAAAUAGCUGAG